GAUGAACGCUGACAGAAUGCUUAACACAUGCAAGUCAACUUGAACUUCGGUUUGGGUGGCGGACGGGUGAGUAACGCGUAAAGAACUUGCCUCACAGAUAGGGACAACAUUUGGAAACGAAUGCUAAUACCUGAUAUUAUGAUUAUAUGGCAUCGUAUAAUUAUGAAAGCUAUAUGCGCUGUGAGAGAGCUUUGCGUCCUAUUAGCUAGUUGGAGAGGUAACGGCUCACCAAGGCGAUGAUGGGUAGCCGGCCUGAGAGGGUGAUCGGCCACAAGGGGACUGAGACACGGCCCUUACUCCUACGGGAGGCAGCAGUGGGGAAUAUUGGACAAUGGACCAAGAGUCUGAUCCAGCAAUUCUGUGUGCACGAUGAAGUUUUUCGGAAUGUAAAGUGCUUUCAGUUGGGAAGAAAAAAAUGACGGUACCAACAGAAGAAGUGACGGCUAAAUACGUG
rnacentral:rRNA from 1 species